CAGGGAACAGCUGAGUUUAAACUAUUUUUAUACAGGGGGCAGGCUUCUCCCUCCCUCAGGUACAAGUCUCCUUUUCUUAUCGGUCCUCUAUACUGGCCAAUACC